UACGUAGGGGGCAAGCGUUGUCCGGAUUUACUGGGCGUAAAGAGCGCGUAGGCGGAACGUUAAGCGGGGCCGGAAAGCCCCCGGCUCAACCGGGGAAGGGGCCGCGAACCGGCGUUCUUGAGGGGGAGAGAGGAGAGCGGAAUUCCUGGUGUAGCGGUGAAAUGCGUAGAGAUCAGGAGGAACACCCAUGGCGAAGGCGACACGCUGGGCCGUACCUGACGCUAAAGCGCGACAGCAUGGGGAGCAAACGGG
rnacentral:rRNA from 1 species